GUCACUCCCUUUACUUCCAUCAGUAUACAUAACAUAGUAUGUUUUAUUAUUACUUAAAAAUUGUAGCAUAUCUAAAUUGUUGUUUAUUGUGUUUUUCAUUUCUGUUAAGGGUUGAAAAAUAGACUGUUCAGAGAUUAAACUGGCAAAACUAUCUGCACAAGAACGCCCUCUACGAAGUCCGUAUUGAAAUUGUGGGAUAAUAUCAUUGGAUUCAACAUACCAGUCGAGACGAACUUUAAUCAUAUUUUCAAAUAUUUUACCAAGACAAGAAGAUAAGGAUAUUGGUCUGAAAGAACUGGCAAGUUCCGGAGAUUUGUCAGGCUUGAGUAUGGGGAUAACACAUUGAGUUUUCCAUGACUGUGGAAUAAUUUUCUUGUACCAAAAUAGAUUCAGGAUAUUAAGGAAAAUCUUUUGAGCAGAUUCAUCUAAAUUUUUAAUAAUCAUGUAAGGAUAAUCAUCGAGACCUGGACUUGUGUUUUGUCUAGAUUGUAAACUCUUUGUAAAUUCAUUCCAUGUAAAUGAAUUAACUAAAAAUUUUGAAUUUUUA